ACAUUUCCUGCAGGCGGCAGAGAGGUGACUGUCAAGGCCAGCUUCCACGAUACUGUAUGCGGCAAUGUCAUACUCAUCAACUACAGUUUCAUCUUCCCCGAUAGAGGGACAGAAGCCGGGGACGAGCGGACUAAGGUGUCUAAAGUAAUAGUUGCUCAGAAUGGUUUAAUGUCAACACCAGCAGUAUCCUGUGUCAUUCGUAAAUACAAAACUAAUGGUGGAAUUAUUUUGACUGCAAGUCACAAUCCUGGGGGCCCAGAUGCUGAUUUUGGCAUAAAGUUCAAUACUGAAAAUGGAGGUCCAGCUCCAGAAAAUGUAACAGACAAAAUAUUUGAAAGAACAUAAAGCAUCAAUCAGUACAAGAUUUGUCCCGAUUUGAAUGCUGAUAUCUCCAAAGUUGGCCUUUCUACUUACACGGUUGAUGGUAAAGAGUUCAGUGUUCAGGUCAUAGACUCUGUGUUGGAUUAUGUGGAGUACAUGAAGGAAAUAUUCGACUUCCCUGCUCUGAUAAACUACCUGUCCACAGGGAAACAAGUGCUUAUUGAUGCAAUGAAUGGAGGUCAGUUCUGAAUGAUUCUUACAUAGAAUGAUUGUUCUUUGCUAAAAUGCUAUCCAUAGAUAAUGAAUCAAUGAACAGAUAUAUCUCAGAUUGUGAGUUAAAUAGUACAUGUAGUUGCAUGCUUGUUGUUUCUAAAGUAACAUUUUUUAUUUACCUGCUUAGUGUAUUUUAUGAAUAUCAAAUUAUGUAGAACAUGCAAGAGGGUAAAUGUAUAUUGAUGAAAUUCUAAAAUUUAAAUUAGAAGCUUUUAGAGUUUAUUUCACUUUUGCCCAAAAAUAUUUCAUUUAUUGCAAUGGUCUGAUGAUAUUAUGUCACAGAAAGUAAUACAUCUGGAUGGCUUGCAUAUAGAGUUAUCUCUCUUUGCUCAUGCUUACUGUAAAACAAUAUUCUGCAGCAAGGACUUUAGGAGUAAUUGUGCAUUUACUGCCAUUUAGAACAUCUAAAUGUAGCUUGAUGUGGCUAAAAAUGUGUAAUUACUUGAAAAAAAGUAAGGAAUUACCACAAGAAACAUAAAUAAUUGUGCAAUCAUGGUAACAAGAGAGCCGGCAAAAUGUUACUUGAAAUAAAGGUUAUCAAAUUAAG
rnacentral:misc_RNA from 1 species